rnacentral:rRNA from 1 species
AUUGAACGCUGGCGGCAGGCCUAACACAUGCAAGUCGAGCGGAUGAAGAGAGCUUGCUCUCUGAUUCAGCGGCGGACGGGUGAGUAAUGCCUAGGAAUCUGCCUGGUAGUGGGGGACAACGUUUCGAAAGGAACGCUAAUACCGCAUACGUCCUACGGGAGAAAGCAGGGGACCUUCGGGCCUUGCGCUAUCAGAUGAGCCUAGGUCGGAUUAGCUAGUAGGUGAGGUAAUGGCUCACCUAGGCGACGAUUCGUAACUGGUCUGAGAGGAUGAUCAGUCACACUGGAACUGAGACA